rnacentral:rRNA from 1 species
UACGGGGGGGGCAAGCGUUGUUCGGAAUUACUGGGCGUAAAGGGUUCGUAGGUGGCUUGCUAAGUCAGACGUGAAAUCCCUCAGCUUAACUGGGGAACUGCGUCUGAGACUGGCAAGCUUGAGUGCAGGAGAGGAACGCGGAAUUCCAGGUGUAGCGGUGAAAUGCGUAGAUAUCUGGAGGAACACCGGUGGCGAAGGCGGCAUCCUGGACCAACACUGACACUGAGGAGCGAAAGCCAGGGGAGCAAACAGG